rnacentral:rRNA from 1 species
AUACGUAGGGUGCGAGCGUUGUCCGGAAUUACUGGGCGUAAAGAGCUCGUAGGCGGUUUGUCGCGUCGUCUGUGAAAUUCCGGGGCUUAACUCCGGGCGUGCAGGCGAUACGGGCAUAACUUGAGUACUGUAGGGGAGACUGGAAUUCCUGGUGUAGCGGUGAAAUGCGCAGAUAUCAGGAGGAACACCGGUGGCGAAGGCGGGUCUCUGGGCAGUAACUGACGCUGAGGAGCGAAAGCAUGGGUAGCGAACAGGAUUAGAUACCCUGGUAGUCCAUGCCGUAAACGGUGGGCGCUAGGUGUAGGGGUCUUCCACGACUUCUGUGCCGUAGCUAACGCAUUAAGCGCCCCGCCUGGGGAGUACGGCCGCAAGGCUAAAACUCAAAGGAAUGGACGGGG